rnacentral:lncRNA from 1 species
AGUCAAAGGAAAGCCAUAGACACCAAUGUAUUCCAGGAGGGCUUGACUCCAUCCUAGAUUCUUCCCAUAGCAGUUCUUGAAUGCAUGGCUGCACGUGCACCUCUCCCCAUUUUUGGGGUCCUUCAUUGGGGUCAGGAUGAAUGAAGACAUCAAGCUCACUUUGAAGAGCAAGAUUCUGAUUUGGACAGGUUCAUCCUUCUGCUCAUCACUUGUUCCCCUUCAAUUGAUACCCUCUCGUUGUUGGGUUCUGAGAAUUUGAAACCUUGCUCUGAAUUGAACAUGAAAAAGGGCCGUGUAGCCAACAUCAGGGACAGCAGUGCUUUUCUCAGUGUGAGUCUUUUAAAACUUGCCUUACAGGACCAGGACGCCCCUACAGGGCCAUAGAUUUCUCACAUCAAGGACCUGCAUUUGUUACCUGGCACCGGUACCAUUUGUUGUGUCUGGAAAGAGAUCUCCAGCGACUCAUUGGCAAUGAGUCUUUUGCUUUGCCCUACUGGAACUUUGCCACUGGGAGGAACGAGUGUGAUGUGUGUACAGACCAGCUGUUUGGGGCAGCGAGACCAGACGAUCCGACUCUGAUUAGUCGGAACUCAAGAUUCUCCAGCUGGGAAACUGUCUGUGAUAGCUUGGAUGACUACAACCACCUGGUCACCUUGUGCAAUGGAACCUAUGAAGGUUUGCUGAGAAGAAAUCA